GGGGGGGGGGGGGGGGGGGCGGAGGGGAGGGGGGUCGUACGGUGGGGCGCGUUCGGGGGUGCGCGAGGGGCGAACGGGUGGGUAACACGUGAGUAACCUGCCCACAACUUUGGGAGAACGCUAGGAGACUGGUGCUAAUACUGGAUAUGUGCUCCUGCUGCAUGGUGGGGGUGGGAAAGCUCCGGCGGUUGUGGAUGGACUCGCGGCCUAUCAGCUUGUUGGUGGGGUAGUGGCCUACCAAGGCGGCGACGGGCAGCCGGCCUGAGAGGGUGACCGGCCAAAUUGGGAUUGAGAUACGGCCCAGACUCCUACGGGAGGCAGCAGUGGGGAAUAUUGCACAAUGGGCGCAAGCCUGAUGCAGCAACGCCGCGUGCGGGAUGACGGCCUUCGGGUUGUAAACCGCUUUCAGCAGGGACGAAGCUUUUUGUGACGGUACCUGCAGAAGAAGCACCGGCUAACUACGUG
rnacentral:rRNA from 1 species